GCUAAACGCGAAGAACCUUACCUGGGUUUGACAUGUAGAGAAAAGCCAUAGAGAUAUGGUGUCCUCGGGUUCGUACACAGUGGUGCAUGGUUGUCGUCAGCUCGUGUCGUGAGAUGUUGGGUUAAGUCCGCAACGAGCGCAACCCUUGUCCUAUGUUGCCAGCACGUCAUGGUGGGGACUCGUAGGAGACUGCCGGGGUCAACUCGGAGGAAGGUGGGGACGACGUCAAAUCAUCAUGCCCCUUAUAUCCAGGGCUGCAAACAUGCUACAAUGGCCGGUACAAAGGGCUGCGAAACCGCGAGGUGGAGCGAAUCCCAUAAAGCCGGUCUCAGUUCGGAUUGGAGUCUGCAACUCGACUCCAUGAAGCUGGAGUUGCUAGUAAUCCCGGAUCAGCAACGCCGGGGUGAAUACGUUCCCGGGUCUUGUACACACCG
rnacentral:rRNA from 1 species